CCCCAGUUCAACCAUUGGGACACCCCAAGUUCAACCAUUGGGACUCUUUAAUCUUAACCAUUGGGACACCCCAAUUCACCCAUUGGGUCAUCCCAAGUUCAACCAUUGGAACUCUCCAGUCUUAACCAUUGGGACACCCCAGUUCAACCAUUGGGACACCCCAAGUUCAACCAUUGUCACUCCCAUAUUUUAACUCUGGGGACGCCCCCGUUUUAACCAUUGCAGCACCCUCCUUGAAAUCACGAGACCCACAUUCCAAAAGGCACUCCCCCACCUAAGACCGUCCUUCCCCCACCCCGUCCCCCAGCCUAGUGGACUUUCUGUGGGGGACAAGAAGGUAUCGCGGGUCCUACACCACGAGGAGCACUGUCCACUCCGCUCACCGAGACCUCCGCCCACCAGGAGACGGCUCCAGGGUGCUGGGCACGGUGCCCUUGGGCUUCCUGUCUCCGUUUCGCCUCUUUUUUUUUUGGUCCUUUCUAAGUGUUGGCAUUUCCUGAGGGCAGGGGAACGGGGACAUAGAACCCGGUGGACGUUCCCCAGAGACACCCGUUCCCUCUGUGUGUGUGUGUGUGUGUGUGUGUGCGUGUGUGUGUGUGACGCUCCUGGCCGGACCAGCCCCUUGUGUACCUCACCUCGCAUCUCCCUGCCCAUCGUGCAACUCAAAUCGCGCCAAAGAAAUAAACGUAUCUUAGCCACGA